CCCCAAAAGUGAAAGCAAAGUCAAGGUGCAGAAAGGCACUGGUCAGAGUGAAGAAUUCCCAAAAAGCAACAUUAUAGACUUCCCAGAGGGAAAAUGGCAGCAUCAUUUAGGAUAUAUCCCUGCUACCUCUGCCUUUGACUUUCAGAUGGAACUUGACAGAGCUAUUGCAGUCCUGGUGAAUGCCCUUUCCCUCUCAUCCUGGACAGCUGAUGAGGCCAGCUCAUCAGAUCCUAUAGCACAGGGUUCUGAGCAGGAUGGUGACCAGCCCUUCCCAACCAGUCAGCAGGACCCCAGGCAGGUACCUGAGGAGCUGCCCCUAUCCAGUG